AUCUCAUUGACCAGAAGGGAUUCCUUCCGGUUGAUGAGGUAUAAAAACCUCAUUUACCGGAAGGGAUUCCUUCCGGUUGAUGAGGU
rnacentral:miRNA from 1 species